rnacentral:rRNA from 1 species
GGUUCAGGACGAACGCUGGCGGCGUGCCUAACACAUGCAAGUCGAGCGAGGAGAGUCCUUCGGGAUGAUCCUAGCGGCGGACGGGUGAGUAACACGUGGGCAGCCUGCCUCAUAGAGAGGAAUAGCCUUCCGAAAGGGAGAUUAAUACCUCAUAACAUUGCAGUUUCGCAUGGAACAGCAAUUAAAGGAGUAAUUCGCUAUGAGAUGGGCCCGCGGCGCAUUAGCUAGUUGGUGAGGUAACGGCUCACCAAGGCGACGAUGCGUAGCCGACCUGAGAGGGUGAUCGGCCACAUUGGGACUGAGACACGGCCCAGACUCCUACGGGAGGCAGCAGUGGGGAAUAUUGCACAAUGGGGGAAACCCUGAUGCCAGCAACGCCGCGUGAGUGAUGACGGCCUUCGGGUUGUAAAGCUCUGUCUUCAGGGACGAUAAUGACGGUACCUGAGGAGGAAGCCACGGCUAACUACGUGCCAGCCGCCGC